rnacentral:rRNA from 1 species
UACGUAGGGGGGCAAGCGUUGUCCGGAUUUAUUGGGCGUAAAGAGCGUGUAGGCGGCCAGGUAGGUCGGUUGUGAAAACUGGAGGCUCAACCUUCAGACGCGACCGAAACCAUCUGGCUAGAGUCCGGGAGAGGAGAGUGGAAUUCCUGGUGUAGCGGUGAAAUUCGUAGAUAUUGGGAAGAACACCGGUGGCGAAGGCGGCGACCUGGUCCGAUACUGACGCUGAGGCGCGAAAGCGUGGGGAGCAAACAGG